rnacentral:lncRNA from 1 species
ACUUACAACAAUAAUGGUUACGAGAGGAGCAACUACAACAACAAGAACAACAACAAUGGCUACAAACUUGGUAGUGCUAGAUAUGAGACAGGUAAUCAAAACAACAAUGGCUACACCAACAAGUACUACAAUAAUGGCUACAAACUAGCUGGUGAAAGCUAUGAAGCAGGCAAUCAAAAUACUGAGAAUGGCUACGACAACAAUGGCAACACAAACAACUACAACAACAAUGGCUACACCAACAAGUACUACAAUAAUGGCUACAAACUAGCUGGUGAAAGCUAUGAAGCAGGCAGUCAGAAAAGUGAGAAUGGCUACAGCAACAACUACAACAACAACGGCUACACCAACAAGUACUACAAUAAUGGCUACAAGCUACCUGGUGAAAGCUAUGUAGUGGGCAACCAGAAUAGUGAGAAUGGCUACACCAACACCUACAACAACAAUGGCAACACAAACAACUACAACAACGAAGGCUACACCAACAAGUACUACAAUAAUGGCUACAAACUAGCUGGUGAAAGCCAUGAAGCAGGGAAUCAGAAUAGUGAGAAUGGUUACAGCAACAAUGGCAACGCAAACAACUACAACAACAAAGGCUACACCAACAAGUACUACAAUAAUGGCUACAAAC